rnacentral:lncRNA from 1 species
UGAAGGAUUACUCUGAGGAAACAGGAGCACACGCUUCUAUUUGUAGCUUUGAAAUGAAAGUGUGCCUCCAUCUUGCUCAUGUGUCAUCUUUAGAUUUCAGAGUCGGUCUCAGUGACACGCUGGACCCAGUCGGUGUCGGACGCUGUUUGUUUCAGGAGAAGAUUACAAGUUUGUGUCAAACAGGUAUUUUAGUUGUUGUUGUUGUUGAGGGUAGAAGUCAGAGACAGACCAUGACACAAAUUGUAGGGUCACAUGCCAGAACUCCAGUUGUUUCAAGACUCACGGUGUCGGAAGAGAUUUCACAGCUCCUUGAACACAAGCGAGUUUCUUAUCUUUUGCUGCCAUUUUAUCAGGCGGCUUCAGAGCGCCCCAAGCAGAGCACCGGGUCUCUGUGUGUCCCUUUAUCUGGAGCAGGAAGAACGCUGACCUUGCGGCAACUUAAACAGUUUAUCAGAAGCACAAUAAUCUUCUUCACGGGAGAGGAUGUUGGCAGAGGAAAAUAAACGAGCUGUGAGCUUUGUGAGUGGUCCAGGUCCACGCUGCGGGUUACGAACCCUACUGCUACUGCUACUGGGCUGGAGUCAAAGAUGGAGAAGAAGCAGCAGAAUGUGAUGUGAUGUCCACAUGAGAAAAUACCAUUUACAGAUUAGAUUUCUACACAUCAUUAAUGGUGAAUUAGAAAUUAAUCUAUGAGUGAGUUUACAGUUUCUUAUCAAUAUAAAUGAUCGACACAUGACAACUUCAAAAGCAUUUUUUUUUUAAUCUUGUUUGCUGAUGACUGUAAUAUUUAUUUAAUUAAGCAGCAUGUUCUAUAUCAUUGUUGGAAAUGUGUUAACAUGAAAAAUAAAUAUAAAUCAAAAUGUUAAAUUUAAAUGUAA